UAUUGCAUGAUGAAAUUGACAUUGCAUAAAAUAUAGAAAUCAACGACAACAGAAGCCCGCAAUGAACGGUGUUUUAAUCUUUUGCUGACGACAACCUCCAACUCUACUAGGACCAGGAUUUUUUAAGGGAACAAGAAAUCUUCAUAGGGAUACAUAGUUUUCUAAAUGGAUCCACAUAACUCUGUGUCUCACCUGCAGUUGCUGCUGUUAGUGUUAAAGUCUGAUGUUGACUAUAAAAAUUUCAGCAACAAAAUGAAGAACUCCAAGAGUCUAAUACGGUUUAUUAAACAGGAUUUUACCAUUGAAUCAACAUCCUACAAGAAUAUAACAUACAAAUAAGUAAUUAUGUGCAGGGAAGAACAUUUAAACAAAACUGUAAGAGACAUACAGUGGUGUAUUUUUAAAGAGACCGGAAGAACCUGUAAUAACUUGCCAUGAGUGUAUAUUUUCCAAACCAGAAGCUCGUUCAUAAUAAUACUGUAUACAAUUUAAAUUAAAAGUGUUGUAUGAUCAUUACAGAUAUAGUCUCAAAAGAGAAAAUUUAGUUUUAAAUGAAACAUUUAAGUAAAAAACAUUGAAAUAGUCCUUUCCAUGUUGUGGGACAUGUAGAAAGUUUAUGCUUUCACCAUUCAUGUAGCUCCAUAUAGAGGAAUGGGUCCCUGUCCCCCUCUC